UAGGAAUUAUGYAUAGAAACAGCUUCUAACUGAAUUCUAAAGCGGUUAAAAUCCGUUUAUUCCUUU
rnacentral:tRNA from 1 species